rnacentral:lncRNA from 1 species
CGGCAUCCACAAUGCUCGAACUUGAGCCCGUCCCCGCUCCAUGCUGCCGCAGCUCAUAUUCCUCUCCUCCCUCCACUGCAGCUCGUAUUCCUCUCCUCCCUCUCCCUCCACCUUCAGUCCCCACCGGAGAUGCAAGCAUCGCCACCGUCGAGGAUCUAGCGUCGCCUGUGGAUCUAGCCGCAACGCCUCCUUCCCUGCCGAAGGCGGUGGCAGGGCCUCUCCCCUGGCGGAUCUCCUCGGCCGCGGCGAAGUUGGUGAUUC